rnacentral:rRNA from 1 species
CGCACCUACGGGAGGCAGCAGUGGGGAAUAUUGCACAAUGGGGGAAACCCUGAUGCAGCGACGCCGCGUGAGUGAAGAAGUAUUUCGGUAUGUAAAGCUCUAUCAGCAGGGAAGAAAAAAGACGGUACCUGACUAAGAAGCCCCGGCUAACUACGUGCCAGCAGCCGCGGUAAUACGUAGGGGGCAAGCGUUAUCCGGAUUUACUGGGUGUAAAGGGAGCGUAGACGGCAAUGCAAGCCAGAUGUGAAAGCCCGGGGCUCAACCCCGGGACUGCACUUGGAACUGUGUAGCUGGAGUGUCGGAGA